rnacentral:rRNA from 1 species
UACGAAGGGGGCUAGCGUUGCUCGGAAUCACUGGGCGUAAAGGGUGCGUAGGCGGGUUUUUAAGUCAGAGGUGAAAUCCUGGAGCUCAACUCCAGAACUGCCUUUGAUACUGAGAAUCUUGAGUACGGGAGAGGUGAGUGGAACUGCGAGUGUAGAGGUGAAAUUCGUAGAUAUUCGCAAGAACACCAGUGGCGAAGGCGGCUCACUGGCCCGUAACUGACGCUGAGGCACGAGAGCGUGGGAGCAAACAGG